rnacentral:rRNA from 1 species
UACGAAGGGGGCUAGCGUUGUUCGGAUUUACUGGGCGUAAAGCGCACGUAGGCGGAUCUUUAAGUCAGAGGUGAAAUCCCAAGGCUCAACCUUGGAACUGCCUUUGAUAUUGGGGAUCUUGAGUCCGGGAGAGGUGAGUGGAACUGCGAGUGUAGAGGUGAAAUUCGUAAAUAUUCGCAAGAACACCAGUGGCGAAGGCGGCUCACUGGCCCGGUACUGACGCUGAGGUGCGAAAGCGUGGGGAGCAAACAGG